rnacentral:rRNA from 1 species
AAUGAACGUUGGCGGCGUGGAUUAGGCAUGCAAGUCGAGCGAUAACCGUAGCAAUACGGCGAAAGCGGCGAAAGGGAGGGUAAUGCAUGGAUAUCUACCCUCGGGUCUGGGAUAGCCGCGGGAAACUGCGGGUAAUACCAGAUAACAUCUCCGGAUCAAAGGUAUGAGUUCGCCUGAGGAGGGGUCCAUGUCCUAUUAGCUAGUUGGUGAGGUAACGGCCCACCAAGGCUGAGAUGGGUACGAGGUGUGAGAGCACGACCUCGCUCACUGGGACUGAGACACUGCCCAGACACCUACGGGUGGCUGCAGUCGAGAAUCUUCGGCAAUGGGCGCAAGCCUGACCGAGCGACGCCGCGUGCGGGAUGAAGGCCUUCGGGUUGUAAACCGCUGUCAGUGUGGAGGAAAUGCCUAGCGGUAAUCUCCUAGGUUUGACCUAUACGCAGAGGAAGGAUGGGCUAAGUUCGUGCCAGCCGCCGCGGUAA